ensembl:rRNA 5S_rRNA 5S ribosomal RNA
GCUGCUGGAAUCUCUGGUUUAUGAACACGCCCAAUCUUGUCUGAUUUUGGAAGCUAAGUAGGGCCAAACCUGGUUAGUACUUGGAUGGGAGACCACCUGGGAAUACUGGGUACUGUGAGCU